GAUGAACGCUGGCGGCGUGCCUAAUACAUGCAAGUCGAGCGAAUGGAUUGAGAGCUUGCUCUUAUGAAGUUAGCGGCGGACGGGUGAGUAACACGUGGGUAACCUGCCCAUAAGACUGGGAUAACUCCGGGAAACCGGGGCUAAUACCGGAUAACAUUUUGAACCGCAUGGUUCGAAAUUGAAAGGCGGCUUCGGCUGUUACUUAUGGAUUGACUCGGCUCGCAUUAGCAAGUUGGUGAGGUAACGGCUCACCAAGGCCACGAUGCGUAGCCGACCUGAGAGGGUGAUCGGCCACACUGGGACUGAGACACGGCCCAGACUCCUACGGGAGGCAGCGGUAGGGAAUCUUCCGCAAUGGACGAAAGUCUGACGGAGCAACGCCGCGUGAGUGAUGAAGGCUUUCGGGUCGUAAAACUCUGUUGUUAGGGAAGAACAAGUGCUAGUUGAAUAAGCUGGCACCUUGACGGUACCUAACCAGAAAGCCACGGCUAACUACGUGCCAGCCGCCGCGGUAA
rnacentral:rRNA from 1 species